UUUGUUUUUAUCAAGUGAAGUUAGAUGAUUGUUGCUGCACAAACUUUGUUCGUACGUGACAACUUCGAUAGCUAGCUACUGUAGCAGGAGCACAAAAACUGGAUUUUCAAUCCAAAAUAAAACAGUACAGAAAUAAAAUGCAAUUUGAUUGGUUGUUCAGAUAAUUAUUCGUUUGUUUAUAACAUAUUUCCCUUUCUACUUUUUAACAAAGUUAAAAGAAUUUCAACCUUCAAUUGCCAUUUUGUAAUUACCCUGCCGAGCAGUUGUCUUUUAAACUACCCCACCUACAGGAUAAUUGUGCCUCCCCAACAGCGGUUUGACAGCCACUUCUAUUAUUGAAAUAAUCUUCAGCUAUUUUUUCUUCUUCUUUUUUUGUUGUUGUUGUUGUUGUUGUUAGGCGUUGUUUCAUUUAAUCAUUCCAUCUAACAUCUAAUAGUUUAGCACAUCUUUUCUGUUAGCAUCUUGUGGACAGAGGCGUUUUGCUGGGAGUACUUGAAUUGUUUUCUUUGCAUUAAAAUAUUUUUAUGAAAAUGUUUUAGGUAAGAAGAUAUUUAAGGUGAAUAAAACUUCUUUAGCCUGCAGUUUCAGUGUUUCUUCCAGAAUGUGGCAGCAAAAACCCGAGUUAGGCACAAUUGAAAAAGAACUGAAUAAUUUGUCUGCGGAAGACAUUAAAGAAAUAGUGUUUGGAGAAGAAAUCAAGGGGAUAUUCUCUGGGACAGUACCGUCCAUCUUACAUGAUAAAUACAAAAAAGGAAGUCGGGC